AAAUGCGAUAACUAGUGUGAAUUGCAGAAUUCCGUGAAUCAUCGAGUCUUUGAACGCACAUUGCGCCCCCUGGUAUUCCGGGGGGCAUGCCUGUCCGAGCGUCAUUGCUGCCCAUCAAGCACGGCUUGUGUGUUGGGUCGUCGUCCCCUCUCCGGGGGGGACGGGCCCCAAAUGCAGCGGCGGCACCGCGUCCGAUCCUCGAGCGUAUGGGGCUUUGUCACCCGCUCUGUAGGCCCGGCCGGCGCUUGCCGAACGCAAAUCAAUCUUUUUCCAGGUUGACCUCGGAUCAGGUAGGGAUACCCGCUGAACUUAAGC
rnacentral:misc_RNA from 1 species